rnacentral:rRNA from 1 species
GACGAACGCUGGCGGCGUGCCUAAUACAUGCAAGUAGAACGCUGAAGGAGGAGCUUGCUUCUCUGGAUGAGUUGCGAACGGGUGAGUAACGCGUAGGUAACCUGCCUGGUAGCGGGGGAUAACUAUUGGAAACGAUAGCUAAUACCGCAUAAGAGUAGAUGUCGCAUGACAUUUGCUUAAAAGGUGCAAUUGCAUCACUACCAGAUGGACCUGCGUUGUAUUAGCUAGUUGGUGAGGUAACGGCUCACCAAGGCAACGAUACAUAGCCGACCUGAGAGGGUGAUCGGCCACACUGGGACUGGGACACGGCCCAGACUCCUACGGGAGGCAGCAGUAGGGAAUCUUCGGCAAUGGACGGAAGUCUGACCGAGCAACGCCGCGUGAGUGAAGAAGGUUUUCGGAUCGUAAAGCUCUGUUGUAAGAGAAGAACGAGUGUGAGAGUGGAAAGUUCACACUGUGACGGUAUCUUACCAGAAAGAGACGGCUAACUACGUG